rnacentral:lncRNA from 1 species
UUACCAAAACUCUGCCUCAGUUUCCUUGUCUGUAAAACGGGCACAGGAAUAGAUCUACCUCCUAGGAUCGCUGUGACUUCUGAGUGGGAGACUUCGCAGGAAGCACUCUGAACAGUCCCCGGCAGGUAGCUCGUGUUUUGCUCCAGGAGGUGGAUAAGGUGCAGCUUUGCAGAACAGCUCCCCAGAUGGGGUUUCCGGAGGCUGUGGGAGGAGGGACAAGGAGAGAACAAGCAGCCGGCAGGGCAGAGGAACCUGGAGUGAAGAAACACAUGUCCAAUGGUUGCUUUAGUAAAGCUUCUGCUGUUGGGGGUGUGAAAUGAAACUUCUUCCUUGAUUCUCCAAGAAACCGUCCACAAAGGCUAGUUGUGGUGGCUCACGCCUGUAAUCCCAGCAUUUUGGGAGAUGAAGGCAGGUGAAUCGCUUGAGCCUAGGAGUUUGAGACCACCCUGGGCAACAUGGCAAAACCCUGUUUUGUACAAAAAAAUACAAAAAUUAGCCGGGUGUGGUGGUGCACACCUGUAGUCCCAGCUACUCUGGAGACUGAGGUGGGAGGAUUGCUUGAGCCUGAGAUGAGGAAGUUCCAGUAAGCCGUGAUUGUGGCGCUGUACUCCAGCCUGGGUGACACAGUGAGACCCUCUCAAGAAGAAAGAGAGGAAAUAGAAGAGAGAAAGAAAAAAAGAAAGGAAGGAAGGAAGGAGAAGAAAAAAGGAAAGAAAAGAAACAGAAAGAAAGGAAAGAAAGAAAAAAGAAAGGAAGGAAGGAAGGAAGAAAGAAGGAAAAAGAAAGAAAGAAAAUUGUCAACAAAAUCUCCUCUUCUCUCUUGUGCUCACGUUAUGGAAUCAUGUCUAUUUGGGAUGUGUGGCUUCCAGGCGGGCAAGAGCAGGCACAGAUGAGACCGGCGAGAUUGACAGGUUGGAGUUCUGCAAUAUAUAUGGAUCUUCAAUGAGAAGUGACAAGCUGAUGACAAUCAGGGCUGCCACGGAUUUUGCACCACAGUGAGAAGGAUUUCAGGUAGAAACUGAUGAACACCACCUGCCUCAUUUCCAUGAUCACCACCAGCACUAACCCCAGCAUCAACUGUAACCUCUAACUCACACGACUGUUCCCUCCAACCUCACCACCCGCACUGGUGCCAUCCCCAUAACCACCAACAGCACCAUUUCCAGAGC